GAUCCGGUUGCCUAGUGGUUAGAGCGUUUGCCUCAGAUCCAUGAGGUCGUGGGUUCGAGCCCCAGAUGAGUCA